UAUGGCAGACCAAGUGCAUUGGACUUAAACUCCUUUCAUAAAGAUUAACUAUUCUUUUAUUAAAA
rnacentral:tRNA from 1 species